CCUGACUGCUAUCGGAUUGAUACUAAGCCAUGCGAGUCUUUGCAGUAAUGCAAGGCAUACGGCUCAGUAACACGUAGUCAACUUACCCUAUGGAUGAGGAUAAUCUCGGGAAACUGAGCAUAAUACUCGAUAGAUCAUAAUGCCUGGAAUGGUUUAUGGUUAAAAUGAUUCGUCGCCAUAGGAUGGGACUGCGGCCUAUCAGCUUGUUGGUGAGGUAAUGGCCCACCAAGGCGAUUACAGGUACGGGCUCUGAGAGGAGAAGCCCGGAGAUGGGUACUGAGACAAGGACCCAGGCCCUAUGGGGCGCAGCAGGCGAGAAAACUUUGCAAUGUGCGAAAGCACGACAAGGUUAAUCCGAGUGAUUUCUGCUAAAGAAAUCUUUUGCAAGUCAUAAAACCACUAGUGAAUAAGGGGUGGGCAAGUUCUGGUGUCAGCCGCCGCGGUAAAACCAGCACCUCAAGUGGUCAGGAGGAUUAUUGGGCCUAAAGCAUCCGUAGCCGGCUCUGUAAGUUUUCGGUUAAAUCCAUACGCUCAACGUAUAGGCUGCCGUAAAUACUGUAGAACUAGGGAGUGGGAGAGGUAGACGGUACUCGAUAGGAAGGGGUAAAAUCCUUUGAUCUAUUGAUGACCACCUGUGGCGAAGGCGGUCUACCAGAACACGUUCGACGGUGAGGGAUGAAAGCUGGGGGAGCAAACCGGAUUAGAUACCCGGGUAGUCCCAGCUGUAAACGAUGCAGACUCGGUGAUGCCCUGGCUUGCGGCCAGUGCAGUGCCGCAGGGAAGCCGUUAAGUUUGCCGCCUGGGAAGUACGUACGCAAGUAUGAAACUUAAAGGAAUUGGCGGGGGAGCACCACAAGGGGUGAAGCCUGCGGUUC
rnacentral:rRNA from 1 species